rnacentral:tRNA from 1 species
GCGGGUGUGGUACAAUGGUAGAACACGACCUUGCCAUGGUUGAGACGGGAGUUCGAUUCUCCUCACCCGCUCCA